ACGCUGGCGGCAGGCUUAACACAUGCAAGUCGAACGGUAACAGGAAUUAGCUUGCUAAUUUGCUGACGAGUGGCGGACGGGUGAGUAAUGCUUGGGAAUCUGGCUUAUGGAGGGGGAUAACUACGGGAAACUGUAGCUAAUACCGCGUAAAAUCUUCGGAUUAAAGGGUGGGACUUUCGAGCCACCUGCCAUAAGAUGAGCCCAAGUGGGAUUAGGUAGUUGGUUAGGUAAAGGCUGACCAAGCCGACGAUCUCUAGCUGGUCUGAGAGGAUGACCAGCCACACUGGAACUGAGACACGGUCCUGACUCCUACGGGAGGCAGCAGUGGGGAAUAUUGCACAAUGGGGGGAACCCUGAUGCAGCCAUGCCGCGUGAAUGAAGAAGGCCUUCGGGUUGUAAAGUUCUUUCGGUGACGAGGAAGGUUGAUAGGUUAAUAGCCUAUCAAAUUGACGUUAAUCACAGAAGAAGCACCGGCUAACUCCGUGCCAGCAGCCGCGGUAAUACGGGGGGUGCGAGCGUUAAUCGGAAUAACUGGGCGUAAAGGGCACGCAGGCGGUGACUUAAGUGAGAUGUGAAAGCCCCGAGCUUAACUUGGGAAUUGCAUUUCAUACUGGGUCGCUAGAGUACUUUAGGGAGGGGUAGAAUUCCACGUGUAGCGGUGAAAUGCGUAGAGAUGUGGAGGAAUACCGAAGGCGAAGGCAGCCCCUUGGGAAUGUACUGACGCUCAUGUGCGAAAGCGUGGGGAGCAAACAGGAUUAGAUACCCUGGUAGUCCACGCUGUAAACGAUGUCGAUUUGGGGAUUGGCUUUGAGCUUGGUGCCCGUAGCUAACGUGAUAAAUCGACCGCCUGGGGAGUACGGCCGCAAGGUUAAAACUCAAAUGAAUUGACGGGGGCCCGCACAAGC
rnacentral:rRNA from 1 species